CCAACGGGGGGCUGCAGUGAGGAAUUUUGCGCAAUGGGGGAAACCCUGACGCAGCAACGCCGCGUGGGCGAUGAAGGCCUUCGGGUCGUAAAGCCCUGUCGGGCGGGAAGAACGCUCUUGGUCGAAGGACUGGGGGGUGACGGUACCGCCAGAGGAAGCACCGGCUAACUCCGUGCCAGCAGCCGCGGUAAUACGGAGGGUGCAAGCGUUAUUCGGAAUUACUGGGCGUAAAGGGCGUGCAGGCGGGAGAGCAAGUCUGAUGUGAAAGCCCGGGGCUUAACCCCGGAAGGGCAUUGGAAACGGUUUUUCU
rnacentral:rRNA from 1 species